UACGAAGGGUGCAAGCGUUACUCGGAAUUACUGGGCGUAAAGGGUGCGUAGGUGGUUGUUUAAGUCCGCUGUGAAAGCCCGGAGCUCAACUCCGGAGGGUCGGUGGAUACUGCCAGUCUUGAAGGUGCUAGGGGGAGAUGGAAUUACCGGUGUAGCGGUGAAAUGCGUAGAUAUCGUAAGGAAGACCAGUGGCGAAGGCGGGUCUCUGGACAGUUCCUGACGCUGAGGCACGAAGGUCAGGGGAGCAAACAGG
rnacentral:rRNA from 1 species